rnacentral:rRNA from 1 species
UACGUAGGUGGCAAGCGUUAUCCGGAUUUAUUGGGCGUAAAGGGAGCGCAGACGGCAGUGCAAGUCUGGAGUGAAAGCCCGGGGCCCAACCCCGGGACUGCUCUGGAAACUGUACGGCUAGAGUACGGGAGGGGCAGGCGGAAUUCCUAGUGUAGCGGUGAAAUGCGUAGAUAUUAGGAGGAACACCGGCGGCGAAGGCGGCCUGCUGGACCGAAACUGACGUUGAGGCUCGAAAGCGUGGGGAGCAAACAGG